rnacentral:rRNA from 1 species
AUUGAACGCUGGCGGCAGGCUUAACACAUGCAAGUCGAGCGAGCGGCGGACGGGUGAGUAAUGUCUGGGAAACUGCCUGAUGGAGGGGGAUAACUACUGGAAAAGGUAGCUAAUACCGCAUACAAGCAGAUGGGCCAAGAUGGGAUUAGCUAGUGGGUGGGGUAAGGGCUCACCUAGGCGACGAUCCCUAGCUGGUCUGAGAGGAUGACCAGCCACACUGGAACUGAGACACGGUCCAGACUCCUACGGGAGGCAGCAGUGGGGUAUAUUGCACAAUGGGCGCACGCCUGAUGUAGCCAUGCCGCGUGUGUUCAGAAGUCCUUCGGGUUGUAAAGCACAUUCAUCGUGGCGGCGUUACUCGCAGAAGAAGCACCGGCUAACUCCGUGCCAGCAGCCGCGGUAAUAC